AUUGUCCCAAGAGGCAUUGCAGGUGUGCCUGCUGUGUUACAUGUGCAUCUGUAGGUGGCAGAAAAGAGACAGGCUAUGUCUUCAUUCUCUGUUCUGACCUAUGAACAUCUGAAUGGUUAGUAGCCUAACACG
rnacentral:snoRNA from 1 species